rnacentral:lncRNA from 1 species
AUUAAAGCAAAUUGAAAGGCAGAAAAGAACGUAAUGUACAAUUGCCAUCUUCCCAGAUAGCCAGGCAGGCUUCAGACACUCUAGUCUGCAGAGGUCAAUUAUAAGUUAGUAUGAGAUUGCCUAGUAAGGCACGAGGGUCAUAAAGGCAAUGAAUAAGCAGUUGAAAUGGCCAAACAAGGCUCAUUAAUACUAUUCAUUGGACCGGAACCGUUCUGCAGCGUUGCAAAGGCAGUAACAAGAAAGUGAAUAGCUCACAAAUCACUGGAAUGGUAAAGGAAUUCACCAGGACAAAGACAGGCGAAUUAGUUCAUUAUAGAACAUUCGCCAAAAAUUACAGCAGACCUAAUAAGCAGGCAGGAAAACAGUCAAAGCAUAGUAGGUCUGCUAACAGGCCACUGCAAUCUGAAUAGACAGUUGAAGCUGAUAAGAUUGGCAGAUGAUGACCUAUGCAGAAUCUGUCACCUAGAGAAAGAAACAGUGCACAUUUUGCGUGGGUGCGACUGUCUGGCGAAUGUGUGGUUCUUUACAUCAGGCGAAGGAUCUUUACAUGGAAGGUUCAGUCUCGAAGCUAGUAGAAUUUUUAAAGAAAGUAAGGCUAGAUAAUAUAGUCUAGAAUUAGAGGAUCUAAUGUAAAGAUUAAUAAAAUCUACAAAACAAUGCGGUAGAAAUAUCAGUAUAAAACAAUUUAGAGUGUUAAACACGUAUUCGAAAUUUCGUGCACGAUAAAACAUUCAGUUCAAUUAUUGCAGCUUCCAUAAAAUUAGUCGAUUUCAUUAAUACAUAUUCGAAAGGCUAACUUUAAAUAUAGAACCUUAUACAGUGCAACUAAUUACAUAAAAUCAAUGUUACGAAUUGAUUCAAGGUAGUGUUCAAGAAUUUUUACCAUAUAUUACACUAGAAGUUGGCUUUUUGUGAAUGGUAAUUACAGCACCGUAUUCAG